rnacentral:rRNA from 1 species
CCUACGGGUGGCAGCAGUGGGGAAUAUUGCACAAUGGGCGCAAGCCUGAUGCAGCCAUGCCGCGUGUGUGAAGAAGGCCUUCGGGUUGUAAAGCACUUUCAGUCGUGAGGAAGGCGGCGUCGUUAAUAGCGGCGUUGUUUGACGUUAGCGACAGAAGAAGCACCGGCUAACUCCGUGCCAGCAGCCGCGGUAAUACGGAGGGUGCGAGCGUUAAUCGGAAUUAUUGGGCGUAAAGAGCAUGUAGGCGGAUUGUUAAGUCUGGUGUGAAAGCCCGGGGCUCAACCCCGGAAGUGCAUUGGAUACUGGCAAUCUUGAGUAUGGGAGAGGAAAGUGGAAUUCCGAGUGUAGGAGUGAAAUCCGUAGAUAUUCGGAGGAACACCAGUGGCGAAGGCGGCCCCCUGGACAGAUACUGACACUCAGAUGCGAAAGCGUGGGGAGCAAACAGGAUUAGAUACCCUGGUAGUC